AACGAACGCUGGCGGCGCGCCUAAUACAUGCAAGUCGAGCGAGAAGACGUAGCAAUACGUUUGUAAAGCGGCGAACGGGUGAGGAAUACAUGGGUAACCUACCCUCGAGUGGGGAAUAACUAGCCGAAAGGUUAGCUAAUACCGCGUACGCUCCUUGGACUUCGGUUCAGGGAGGAAAGCGAUACCGUGGGUAUCGCGCUCUUGGAUGGGCUCAUGUCCUAUCAGCUUGUUGGUGAGGAACGGCUCACCAAGGCUUCGACGGGUAGCUGGUCUGAGAGGAUGACCAGCCACAUUGGGACUGAGACACGGCCCAGACUCCUACGGGAGGCAGCAGUGGGGAAUAUUGCGCAAUGGGCGAAAGCCUGACGCAGCGACGCCGCGUGUGGGAUGAAGGUCUUCGGAUUGUAAACCACUGUCGGGAGGGACGAAGCUCUGACGGUACCUCCAAAGGAAGCACCGGCUAACUCUGUGCCAGCCGCCGCGGU
rnacentral:rRNA from 1 species